rnacentral:ncRNA from 2 species
UUCUUUCUUCAGGAUCUACAGUCUUUGCAGAAAUUCAGGGGGUCAUUGAUGCUUGCAUUAAACUAUCUGGAAUGCCUGAUCUCUCCCUUUCUUUCAUGAACCCUAGGCUUCUGGAUGAUGUCAGCUUUCACCCCUGCAUCCGGUUCAAGCGUUGGGAAUCUGAAAGAGUUUUGUCAUUUAUUCCUCCAGAUGGAAAUUUCCGACUCAUAUCAUACCGUGUCAGCUCACAAAAGUAUGUUGAUGCAUCAGCCAGAAUCUGCCAUCAUACAUAUCAAGUACAACUCACCUUUCCCUGUUUCUUUCUGAAAGUUGAGUACUUGAGGUCAUCACUGCUCACUUUAACCAUAGCUCACCAGGAGACCCAGUGAGAACGGGUGAAAAUACGCACCUAAAAUAAUCCGUAUACUUUGAAUGUAUGAGUGUAGAGUGGUACUAAGUGAGACUAGAGUAAAAUCUAUAGCC